AAUGUGUGUGAGUGUGUGUGUACACACUUUCGAUUUAAUCCAAAGGUUGGAAAUUUUGGAGCAUUGAUAGUACCUAAUAUGGCCCAUUAUCCUGCCGCCUCCCUCUAUAUAAUUGUAAAACGCUAGUGUUCUCCAUCUUCAGCUUCUGUUCAGGGCUCUCCCUGGCCGCCCUUUGGAUGGUGCUUGCUUUGGAUUGUUUCUCUACAUCUUAACAUCAUCCUUUUACGAUUAAAAUUAUCUGCCGAACAGUAGAUGACCUGGAUGAUGCUAUCAAGCGUUUCCAAAUUGCAAGUAUAAUGGCGUUGCAAUUUUAUAGUUGGUUAGUGACCAUAAUUUCUGAUGGAGUUCCUCUAGAUUAAUAUUUGAUUCAUGAACUAUAAUAUCGUGUUCUUAAUGGCCUUCAUAUUCCUUUUCAAGACUUCAGCUUCAAAUGCAUCAAUGACAAUUUUCUCUCUUUACAAAUAGACUGAUUUUGAGUACAGAAAAUUCAGUCUUUAAGUUGGUGGGAACAAUUGCCCUUGAUGCAAUUGAAGCUGAAGUCUUGAAAGAGAAAUUGAGUUUCUGUUAAUUGCUAGAUAAUUCAUGAAUUAAAAUGAAGUUAACCAGGUCAAUCAGAAGUUGGCUGCUGUGCUGAGUUGUGGGUAUUUCAGAGAGUAGCUACACCAUCUGAUAUGAAGUUGGUUGAGGUGGUAGCUAUAUAUUUUUCAUUGGAUAAACAAUUAUUCAUACAAACUGGUGUCUGAUUUAUUUAUAUAUUUUAUUUAAUGAAUGUCACCAGGCUGUUAUUUGACAAAGUAAUGGACUAUUAUGACAAAUGAUAUGUAACACUCUGCAUGUCUGUAUCUAGCCGGAGGUAGAUGCAACUCUAUAAUGAAAUAAGGAUUUUUCUGUAAUAUUUUUCUUGAUUUAGCUAUAUCAAACUUUUUAGAUUUGAUUA